rnacentral:rRNA from 1 species
AGUGAACGCUGGCGGUAGGCCUAACACAUGCAAGUCGAACGGCAGCACAGUAAGAGCUUGCUCUUACGGGUGGCGAGUGGCGGACGGGUGAGGAAUACAUCGUAAUCUACUUUUUCGUGGGGGAUAACGUAGGUAAACUUACGCUAAUACCGCAUACGACGUACGGGUGAAAGCAGUGGAUCUUCUGACCUUGCGCGAUUGAAUUAGCCGAUGACGGAUUAGCUAGUUGGCGGGGUAAAGGCCCACCAAGGCGACGAUCCGUAGCUGGUCUGAGAGGAUGAUAAGCCACACUGGAACUGAGACACGGACAAGACUACUACGGGAGGCAGCAGUGGGGAAUAUUGGACAAUGGGCGCAAGCCUGAUCCAGCCAUACCGAGUGUGUGAAGAAGGCCUUCGGGUUGUAAAGACCUUUUGUUGGGAAAGAAAAGCAGCAGGUUAAUACCCAGCUGUUCUGACGGUACCCAAAGAAUAAGCACCGGCUAACUUCGUG